rnacentral:misc_RNA from 1 species
GAUGAAGAACGCAGCGAAAUGCGAUAAGUAGUGUGAAUUGCAGAAUUCAGUGAAUCAUCGAAUCUUUGAACGCACAUUGCGCCUUCUAGUAUUCUGGGAGGCAUGCCUGUUUGAGCGUCAUUAAACCUCUCUCAAGUAUGAUUACUUGGAUGUGAAGGAAGAGUACCUUAAACUUAAGGUGUGUUCUCCUUUGAAAUUGAUUAGCAGAUGGUAAUGUUAUUAAAUCCCUGAUGUUGUAAGAAAUAACAGUGGUUUUGUAGACUAUUAUCUAGCUUUAAAUUAUAAUUUUUAUUAUGGUUGACCUCAAAUCAGGUAAGGAUACCCGCUGAACUUAAGCAUAUCAAUAAGCGGAGGA